rnacentral:pre_miRNA from 1 species
UUUAAGUGUACUUAUAGGUUUUCUAUAUCCAAUAUUUGAUCGUCUUUCUUAUUUAAAAUUUUUUUAUGAUUAGUAUUUUAUUUAUUAUUAGAUGAUAAAAUAUAAAUAAUAUUUUAUACAUAACUUAUUUUUCUUAACUUUUUAUAAUUUUUUCAAAUAAAACAACGAAUGGUUAAACACUUAAACACAGAAAUAUAACUGCGCUGUAA